GACGAACGCUGGCGGCGUGCUUAACACAUGCAAGUCGAACGGUGAACCUCUUCGGAGGGGAUCAGUGGCGAACGGGUGAGUAACACGUGGGCAACCUGCCCCCGGCUCUGGGAUAACUCCAAGAAAUUGGGGCUAAUACCGGAUGUUCACCGCUUCCCGCAUGGGUGGUGGUGAAAAGGGUUUCCGGCUGGGGAUGGGCCCGCGGCCUAUCAGCUUGUUGGUGGGGUAGUGGCCUACCAAGGCGACGACGGGUAGCCGGCCUGAGAGGGUGACCGGCCACACUGGGAGUGAGACCGGGCCCAGACCCCUAGGGGGGGCGGCGGUGGGGAAUAUGGCGAAAGGGGGGGAGGCCUGCCGCGGCGGCGCCGGGGGGGGGAGGGGGGCCUUGGGUUUGUACACCUCUUGCCGCGGGGACGAAGCGCAAGGGAGGGAACCUGAAGAAGAAGCCCGGGCCAACACGGUG
rnacentral:rRNA from 1 species